rnacentral:lncRNA from 1 species
AAAUAAAGUACUAGAUAAUGAAAUUAUUUAUUACAUGUCUAAUAAAUACAAUGUAAAGUACUUCCUAUAGUAAAAGAAAUUCUAGUAUGUCCAUCCUUCUUGGUUCCUUUUGGUGAGAUCACCACUUAUUGUAUUUCAUCGUUAAGUCUUCGUAUCUGUCACAGAAAGGUUAGUCAUAUCAUCCCUAAAGUUUAAUUAAUUAGAGCAAAUGGUCCAUAUUUAGGCAUAAAUAUUUCUCAAAUAUGCACAUAAAUAAUGAUAGGUCAUCACUUGGGGUCGGAAACCCACUUGGACAUUUAUGGUAAAGUCGACUAAUGGACUUAAUACACCAAGGGUAUAAAGUCUCUUAGGUCAUGAAAUGAUGUAUGUUCCUUGUAAAGUGUGUUGGUUUAGCUCUACUCUAGGUAAACUAGGAGUGGAUUUACUAGACACAAGGUUCCCGAGUGGACUACUCGAGUGAGAAGGCUACGCGGUCACACGAAAAAAGAUCCGGACACCCCGCGCAUAUGCCAACUCUCCUAAAUUUGGAGUUUUGAAAGAAAUUUGCGGGUGCGCAAAACACACCUCGCGUGUACGUGUGAUAGUGUAAAUUUCCAAGAAGUGGAGAAAUAUGAACGGAAUGACAGUUAAGAAAAGCAGUAACAUAUAAACAUUUAUAACAAACAAAUAAUUUAUAGCAUGUAAACAUAAUUUAUAUCAUAUGAAAAUAAUUCAAAGCAAACAAACAAUCAGUUGCAUGUAAAAACAGUUUACGACAAAUAACGUAAUUAAAGUAAGCACAUAAAAGCCUAAUUAAACAAAAUUCGUUGUGGUUAGAACCUAUUAAGUCCCCAGUGAAGUCGCCAAGCUGUUAUACCCCAUUUUAACCGGAUCAAAAUAGUGUACAACAUUUUGGAGAUUUCUAAAGUUAAUUGACUAAUUUAAGAAGUCGCCACCUAAUUAUUUAGGGUGAAUUAGGGCACCUAAAUUGAUUAAAGUCAUUGUCUAAAAUUAACUUCAUUUUAAGGUCCACUAAACAUGAGAAUCUAGAUAAGGGUUCAACUAAUCUAAAGGGAAGGAAUGAGGCAUCCUUUAAGAUCCAUUAAAAAUGGUUAACCGACCGAACUUAAUUAAUUAGGCUAAGUAUAAAAAUAGAAUAUUAGCAUAAGAGAGUGUUUGGAUAAAAAAUAGUUUAAAAGAAAAGGUAUAAAAUUUUAUGUCUAAACUAGCUUACAUGGACAAAUUUAAGUUAAAAUAAAUCAUUCCUUGUUUUGUCAAAUCCAUGGAAACAAAGUUAUUGCCAAUAAAACUUGAAAGUUAGAAAUAAAAAACACUAAAGUAAAAUCAUUUUUUAACUCACAAUCAUAGAUUUAUAAUUUCAUUUUUAGAAAGUUUGAAACUAAAAGGCUUAGAGUAUAGACUCAUCAUGACCAUAAUAAAAAUAGUAAUUUCAAAUUAUGAAAAUAACAUUAUUAACCCAAGGUGUUUUAAAAAAUAUAGUAAAUGUUGACAAAACUUGAGUACAUUAUUUUAUUUUAUUUUUUAAAAAGGACAUCAAGUGAUUAUUAGAGUAUUAAAGUGAAGUCUUAAAAAGGGUAUCAUAUUAUAAAUGACUAAAUAGCUACUGAUAUAGUUACGAAUAAAAUUCUUGUGUUAAUCGCAAGUCCUAAUGGAUUAGCAAAUAAUUAAAAUUUAGUUUUAAAUCAUACAAGCAAGCAAAUGUAGAUAGGUAAACCAUCAUAAUGCAUCAAAGUAGUGAAACAUUUUGCCAACUUUCGACGACUCUUGAGUGACCACGAAAGAAAAUAUAACGGACAACUUUGCAUUCUCAAAAUUUUUCCUCCUCUGUUCAGAUUUUUUAGGAGGGGGGCGAGAGAAACAAAUGGCAAGGAAUGGAGAAUAAAUGCCGGUCACAGGUCUAGCGACGAAAUAGAGUCUUAAGCAGGACUCGUAGAACUCGUCAACUCCGGUAUUCAUGCAAACAAAGAAAACGGAAAAAAGAAGUAGUUAGUAAGGGUAAACAGAUUCACGAUAAGUUAGAACUUGUAUUUGGAAGAAAAGAAUAUAAUAAAUCAUAAUCCAGGAAUAACCAACAGAGCGGAACAUGUGAUUAAACAUAGACCUCUUUAAAUAAGAAAAACAAACCCAACAAGUCGAUGUUAUUGGCAUAACACAAGCUUGUAUUUUCAAUACAAGAAAUAUAGUCUCAAAUUCAUGUUUUGGUGCAGAUGGUCAUAUUUAAGGCCAAGUAAUAAUAUUUCCUUACCCAACAUUUAUUCUUGUGGUUAUCCUGCUUUUAACUUGGCAUGAUUAUAUUUAACGAUGUAAACAAAAAAAAACUUUUAUGAAUCAAUGCUAUACAUGAAAUAAAACUGGCAACAAAAUAUUGCUACGACUAAACUUUACCAUAACUUAAAACUAAACAAAAUAUGACUUAUUACUUACUAGUACUCAUAUUCCGGUUAGCAUAAGAAAACAUACAGUAAAUGAUUCAGCUUGAAAGAAACACCAUUUUUUAUGAACUUUAUUUAUAUCACUUCUAACAACAAAAACAGUGUAUAAAUCAGAAUAGGUUCAGAUUUUCACCUUUUGUGGAGCAGUGAACUUGGUCGUUGAUCAAAGAUCUAAUCUCGUUCUUCCGACAAAAUCGAGCAAAAUAGAGAAUAGAAUAGAAAAUAUUCCGUAAGAUGAUAUUGAAAUAUAAGAGAGGAGUGUUCUUGAGAAUGCUUAAACUUGUUCCUGAUUUCUUUUGCAAGAAAAAAAAAACUCCCCUUCAAUGACUAAACAGAGGGAGUAUUUAUAGAGAGGGUUAAAUCUCUGGGAUCAUUUGGGCGGGAUUUCGAGUUGAAAAAUAUGUAUUUUGAAAUUUGAACGUUGUCUUUUGGUCAAGCUUCACGUGAAUUGGUCAGAGCUGAGUGAUAGAGAUGGAGACAGUUCUGGAAAAGCACCCCUCUUGCACCAAAAUGACGUAUCAACUCUGGUUUUGCCCAAAAGAGUUUGAAGGUUCUGUCUCGAAUGGGAUAGCGUGAGAAA